UGUGUAGGCGGGACUGUAAGUCAGAGGUGAAAUCCUACAGCUUAACUGUAGAACUGCCUUUGAUACUGCAGUUCUUGAGUAUCGGAGGGGUCAUUAGAAUUCGUGGUGUAGCGGUGAAAUGCGUAGAUAUCACGAGGAAUACCAGAGGCGUAGGCGGAUGACUGGACGAUUACUGACGCUGAGGCACGAAAGCGUGGGGAGCAAACA
rnacentral:rRNA from 1 species